GAUGAACGCUGGCGGCGUGCCUAAUACAUGCAAGUCGAGCGAACAGACGAGGAGCUUGCUCCUCUAACGUUAGCGGCGGACGGGUGAGUAACACGUGGAUAACCUACCUAUAAGACUGGGAUAACUUCGGGAAACCGGAGCUAAUACCGGAUAAUAUAUUGAACCGCAUGGUUCAAUAGUGAAAGACGGUGUUGCUGUCACUUAUAGAUGGAUCCGCGCUGCAUUAGCUAGUUGGUAGGGUAACAGCUUACCAAGGGAACGAUGCGUAGCCGACCUGAGAGGGGGAUAGGCCACCCUGGAACGGAGCCACGGUCCAGACUCCUACGGGAGGCCGCAGUAGGGAAUGUUCCGCAGUGGGCGAAAGCCUGACGGAGCAACGCCGCGUGAGUGAUGAAGGUCUUCGGAUCGUAAAACUCUGUUAUUAGGUAAGAACAAAUGUGUAAGGAACUGUGCACUUCUUGACGGUACCUAAUCAGAAAGCAACGGCUAACUACGUG
rnacentral:rRNA from 1 species